UAGAGUUUGAUCAUGGCUCAGGAUGAACGCUAGCGACAGGCUUAACACAUGCAAGUCGAGGGGCAGCGAGGCGGUGCUUGCACCGCUGUCGGCGACCGGCGCACUGGUGAGUAACACGUAUGCGACCUGCCCCCUACAGGGGAAUAACCCGUAGAAAUGCGGCCUAAUUCCCCAUAGUCCCAAAGGCUGCAUGGCCUUUGGGGGAAAGGUUCACUCCGGUAGGGGAUGGGCAUGCGGCGCAUUAGCUAGUUGGCGGGGUAACGGCCCACCAAGGCGACGAUGCGUAGGGGUUCUGAGAGGAAGGUCCCCCACACUGGUACUGAGACACGGACCAGACUCCUACGGGAGGCAGCAGUGAGGAAUAUUGGUCAAUGGGCGAGAGCCUGAACCAGCCAAGUCGCGUGAGGGAAGACGGUCCUACGGAUUGUAAACCUCUUUUGUCGGGGAGUAAUAGGCGGGACGUGUCCUGCUGUGAGAGUACCCGAAGAAAAAGCAUCGGCUAACUCCGUGCCAGCAGCCGCGGUAAUACGGAGGAUGCGAGCGUUAUCCGGAUUUAUUGGGUUUAAAGGGUGCGCAGGCGGCGUGCCAAGUCAGCGGUCAAAGUUCCGGGCUCAACCCGGUGAUGCCGUUGAAACUGGUGUGCUUGAGUGCGUGCGAGGGAGGCGGAAUGCGUUGUGUAGCGGUGAAAUGCAUAGAUAUGACGCAGAACUCCGAUUGCGAAAGGCAGCUUUCCAGCACGCCACUGACGCUGAGGCACGAAAGCGUGGGGAUCGAACAGGAUUAGAUACCCUGGUAGUCCACGCAGUAAACGAUGACUACUAUCUUUUCGGUCCGAUUGAGGAUUGUGAGGAACAGCGAAAGCGUUUAAGUAGUCCACCUGGGGAGUACCGCCGGGCAACGGUGAAACUCAAGGGAAUUUGACGGGG
rnacentral:rRNA from 1 species